rnacentral:rRNA from 1 species
CAUUUGUUCUCUAAAUAAGGACUUGUAUGAAUGGCCACACGAGGGUUUUACUGUCUCUUACUUCCAAUCAGUGAAAUUGACCUCCCCGUGAAGAGGCGGGGAUAAACCAACAAGACGAGAAGACCCUAUGGAGCUUUAACUAACUAACCCAAAGAAAACAACUCAACCACCAGGGAAUAAAAUACUCCUUAUGGGUUAGCAGUUUUGGUUGGGGUGACCUCGGAGAACAAAAAAUCCUCCGAGCGAUUCUAAAGACUAGACCCACAAGUCAACUCAAAUUAUCGCUUAUUGAUCCAAAUACUUGAUCAACGGAACAAGUUACCCUAGGGAUAACAGCGCA